GGGGACCGCACCCGCAGUCCCCACCCCACCAACUCAGGCUCCCGACCGCCUGCAGGGCUGCAGGCGUCCCCUGGUGGUGGAGCAGGCCCAGGCCGCCUGUACCCUGCGAGGUCCCCCAAAGAAUCUGGAGUUCCUGCAGUUUCUGCCUUGUCACUAAUCUGUGCUUCAGGAGACACCCUUGGUCAUCCUCCGGGACUCCGCCUCAGUUCCUUCCGGCCUUUGGACCACAUGAGGCAGUGCCAUCCCUCGGGGCUGAACUCUGCAGAUGAGAAGUCUGCUGUUCGCUCACCUUCUGCACUGUGUUUUGUUUUGUUUUCCCCUCUAGUCCCUUGUCAUCGUCGUCCUCCUCCCCACCCUCUAGCCUCUUCUGUCCCACUGUCUCUCCCCACCUCUGAUAGCUGCAGGUUUUGCUGGACAGUGGCAGGAAAUCUUCCCCAACGCCUCCCAUUCUGCUCAAAGGUGCCUAUAACUGACACCUUCUCUUCCUCUGGACAUGGGGAGCAAGCACUUUGCAGUGUUGGAAAACGAUUUCACCGGGGCUCUGUGACCCUCUCCCUCCUUUUCCCCCAAGGGAUUCAGUCCAGAAAUGCUUCUCUGUCCGUGGUUUCUAACAGCUACUGACUCUCCGUCUGAAACGUUCUAUUCCUGAUAAAGAUGUAUGGCUCUGUGGAUUAGUAGCCCCUGUAGCUCCUACCUGCUUGUCUACCCUCUUCUCAGCCUUCUCCAGAGGGGUUGUUUAUAUCAGUUCUCCUCAUGCUCGGCCCCUCAUCUACCCUCCCAGAAGCGUCAAAGCUAGAGAUCUCUCCUUUGAUAGUCCACUGCAUCCUGGAAAUGCCCUCUUCUUAAAAAGCACUAGGUUUCACAGUAGGACUGAGGGAGGCAGCUGUGAGAAACAGAGGACUCCGGACUCUGAAGCAGGUGGGAAAUACAGAAAGAGAACCAGCCACCGAGAAGCACAUUGAAGAAAAUAAACUGCGUGAAAGCAGA